rnacentral:rRNA from 1 species
AGAGUUUGAUCCUGGCUCAGGACGAACGCUGGCGGCGUGCUUAACACAUGCAAGUCGAACGCUGAUCCAUCUUCGGGUGGUGAGGAGUGGCGAACGGGUGAAUAACACGUGGGCAACCUGCCCCCGGCUCUGGGAUAACUCCAAGAAAUUGGGGCUAAUACCGGAUGUGACCGCUGGCCGCAUGGUCUGGUGGUGGAAAGGGUUUCCGGCUGGGGAUGGGCCCGCGGCCUAUCAGCUUGUUGGUGGGGUAGUGGCCUACCAAGGCGACGACGGGUAGCCGGCCUGAGAGGGUGACCGGCCACACUGGGACUGAGACACGGCCCAGACUCCUACGGGAGGCAGCAGUGGGGAAUAUUGGACAAUGGGCGAAAGCCUGAUCCAGCAACGCCGCGUGAGGGAUGACGGCCUUCGGGUUGUAAACCUCUUUCAGCGGGGACGAAGCGAAAGUGACGGUACCCGCAGAAGAAGCACCGGCCAACUACGUGCCAGCAGCCGCGGUAACACGUAGGGUGCAAGCGUUGUCCGGAAUUAUUGGGCGUAAAGGGCUCGUAGGCGGUCCGUCACGUCGGGAGUGAAAACUCGGGGCUCAACCCCGAGCCUGCUUUCGAUACGGGCGGACUAGAGGUAGGUAGGGGAGAACGGAAUUCCUGGUGUAGCGGUGGAAUGCGCAGAUAUCAGGAGGAACACCGGUGGCGAAGGCGGUUCUCUGGGCCUUACCUGACGCUGAGGCGCGAGAGCGUGGGGAGCGAACCGGAUUAGAUACCCCGGUAGUCC